AUUUAUAUAGUUUAAUUAAAACCUUACAUUUUCACUGUAAAAAUAAAGAAUUUUCUUUUAUAAGUU
rnacentral:tRNA from 1 species